GAUGAACGCUGGCGGCGUGCUUAACACAUGCAAGUCGAACGGAAAGGCUCCUGCUUGCCGGGGUACUCGAGUGGCGAACGGGUGAGUAACACGUGGGUGAUCUGCCCUGUACUUCGGGAUAAGCCUGGGAAACUGGGUCUAAUACCGGAUAGGACCACAUUUUGGAUGGUGUGGUGGAAAGUUUUUCGGUGUGGGAUGAGCUCGCGGCCUAUCAGCUUGUUGGUGGGGUAAUGGCUUACCAAGGCGUGGACGGGUAGCCGGCCUGGGAGGGUGUACGGCCACAUUGGGACUGGGGUACGGCCCGGACUCAUACGGGAGGCAGCGGUGGGGAAUAUUGCACAAUGGGCGCAGGCCUGAUGCAGGGACGCCGGGUGGGGGAUGACGGCCUUCGGGUUGUAAACUCCUUUCGCUAGGAACGAAGCGCAAGUGACGGUACCUGGAGAAGAAGCACGGGCUAACUACGG
rnacentral:rRNA from 1 species